rnacentral:snoRNA from 1 species
GUGAUGAGUAGGCAUUUGUGGCUUUCAAUGGCCGGCGCCGGAAAUGCUGA